UCCGGCUUUCACCGGCUGUCUCUCUAGAGUGCCCAACUUAAGUGCUGGCAACUAGCGAUAAGGGUUGCGCUCGUUGCGGGACUGAACCCAACAUCUCACGACACGAGCUGACGACAACCAUGCACCACCUGUCUCCAUUGUCCCGUAGGAAAGGUGUAUCUCUACACCGGUCAUUGGGAUGUCAAGCCCUGGUAAGGUUCUUCGCGUUGCUUCGAAUUAAACCACAUGCUCCACCGCUUGUGCGGGCCCCCGUCAAUUCCUUUGAGUUUCAGCCUUGCGGCCGUACUCCCCAGGCGGAGUGCUUAAUGGGUUACCUUCGGCACUGAGGGUGGAGACCCCCAACACCUAGCACUCAUCGUUUACGGCGUGGACUAC
rnacentral:misc_RNA from 1 species